UGCAGUGAGCAGCAUGGUUUAUGAAGCAAAUGCAAGGAUUAGAGACCCAGUUUAUGGUUGUGCAGGUGCAAUCUGCCAGCUUCAAAAGCAAGUAAAUGAGCUUCAAGCUCAACUGGCUACAGCACAAGCUGAAGUAGUGAACCUGCAAUGUCAGCAAGCCAAUUUGGUUGCUCUGAUUUGCAUGGAAAAAAUGGCACAAUCUAAUCAUCUUCAAGAACCCAAUUUUGAGCAGCAACAAUAUAUUGAUACAAGCUGCUUUCUAGAUGAGACCAAUUUGGGCACAUCCUGGGAGCCUCUGUGGACAUGAUGGAAAAAAAAAAGCUAAAUUAUGAUCAAGCCUUCAAAAGAAGGCAUUAUAAAAUGAGGAAAAAAAAACUCAAAGAAAAAAUUUUUCAAUAAAGUUGAUUUAAUUAGUUAUGGUUAGAUAUUAGUCAGUGAUGAUUUUCCAUUUAGUCUAAAAUCGACUAAUGGAACCUUUGAAAAAGAAAACUGAUUGAUGUUGAUGGGGUAGCUUUCCUACUUGUAUUCAUUCAUUUUCUAGGCUAUGGAAAAUAGAUGCAUAUACAUAUGUAUAUGCAUCUAUUUUCCAUAGCCUAGAAAAUGAAUGAAUACAAGUAGGAAAGCUACCCCAUCAACAUCAAUCAGUUUUCUUUUUCAAAGGUUCCAUUAGUCGAUUUUAGACUAAAUGGAAAAUCAUCACUGACUAAUAUCUAACCAUAACUAAUUAAAUCAACUUUAUUGAAAAAUUUUUUCUUUGAGUUUUUUUUUCCUCAUUUUAUAAUGCCUUCUUUUGAAGGCUUGAUCAUAAUUUAGCUUUUUUUUUUCCAUCAUGUCCACAGAGGCUCCCAGGAUGUGCCCAAAUUGGUCUCAUCUAGAAAGCAGCUUGUAUCAAUAUAUUGUUGCUGCUCAAAAUUGGGUUCUUGAAGAUGAUUAGAUUGUGCCAUUUUUUCCAUGCAAAUCAGAGCAACCAAAUUGGCUUGCUGACAUUGCAGGUUCACUACUUCAGCUUGUGCUGUAGCCAGUUGAGCUUGAAGCUCAUUUACUUGCUUUUGAAGCUGGCAGAUUGCACCUGCACAACCAUAAACUGGGUCUCUAAUCCUUGCAUUUGCUUCAUAAACCAUGCUGCUCACUGCA
rnacentral:misc_RNA from 1 species